AACGAACGCUGGCGGCAGGCUUAACACAUGCAAGUCGAGCGCAUCCUUCGGGGUGAGCGGCGGACGGGUGAGUAGCGCGUGGGAACGUGCCCUCUUCUACGGAAUAGCCUCGGGAAACUGAGAGUAAUGCCGUAUACGCCCGCAAGGGGAAAGAUUUAUCGGAGGAGGAUCGGCCCGCGUUGGAUUAGGUAGUUGGUGGGGUAACGGCCUACCAAGCCGACGAUCCAUAGCUGGUUUGAGAGGAUGAUCAGCCACACUGGGACUGAGACACGGCCCAGACUCCUACGGGAGGCAGCAGUGGGGAAUCUUGGACAAUGGGGGCAACCCUGAUCCAGCCAUGCCGCGUGAUCGAUGAAGGCCUUAGGGUUGUAAAGAUCUUUCAGCUGGGUAGAUAAUGACGGUACCAGCAGAAGAAGCCCCGGCUAACUCCGUG
rnacentral:rRNA from 1 species